CACAUACUCCCUCCGUCCGGAAUUACUUGUCAUCAAAAUGGAUGUGUCUAGAACUAAAAUACAUCUAGAUACAUCCAUUUCAAUGACAAGUAUUUUCGGACGGAGGGAGUACAAG
rnacentral:pre_miRNA from 1 species